GACGAACCGUACGAACGUUAUUCGGAAUCACUGGGCUUAAAGGGGUGCGUAGGCUGCGCGGAAAGUUGGGUGUGAAAUCCCUCGGGCUCAACCGAGGAACUGCGCCCAAAACUGCCGUGCUCGAGGGAGACAGGAGGUGAGCGGAACUAGGGUGGAGCGGUGAAAUGCGUUGAUAUCCUAAGGAACACCGGUGGCGAAAGCGGCUCACUGGGGUCUCUUCUGACGCUGAGGCACGGAAAGCUAGGGUAGCGAACGGGG
rnacentral:rRNA from 1 species